rnacentral:rRNA from 1 species
UACGGGGGGAGCAAGCGUUGUUCGGAUUUACUGGGCGUAAAGGGCGCGUAGGCGGCCUCCGCAAGUCAGUUGUGAAAUCUCCGAGCUUAACUCGGAAAGGUCAACUGAUACUGCGGGGCUAGAGUGCGGAAGGGGCAACUGGAAUUCUUGGUGUAGCGGUGAAAUGCGUAGAUAUCAGGAGGAACACCGGUGGCGAAGGCGGUUCUCUGGGCAUGAUCUGACGCUGAGGAGCGAAAGUGUGGGGAGCGAACAGG